rnacentral:rRNA from 1 species
AUGCUUGAUAUGAGGAAAGACGGUGCGCAAGGGCUCCCGCGAGGCAUGCAGCGCGCGUGUGUGAAUGUGCAGAUGCGAGGCGGUGGAGGGCUCAACAAGACUAAUGGGAGGAUCAUCAGACCAACAUUAUCAAAUUGGCUGCUUCAAAUUUUGUUCGGGAAGCCGGCGGACAGCCAGAGCAGGAAGGCGUGGAGCUUGAGCUGCAACGACAACAACAACUUGGGGGUCAGCUGCAAAAACAACAGCUCAAGUUUUCAACCAAGUGUAAGGUUGCAGUCAGUCAAUGAUUGCAGUUCUACAAUGACACAUUCAGACUCUUGCAUCCAAAGUUAG